AUAGGCGUCUUACCAGACAUGGUUAGAUGUAAUUAUUGGUGUCUAAUACUGUCUGGUAAUGCCGUCCAU
rfam:Larimichthys crocea isolate SSNF unplaced genomic scaffold scaffold238, whole genome shotgun sequence.